AGUAUGUCAUGAAAUACAUGUGUACCUUAUUAUUGCAGUACAUGCCCAUUUUUGUCCACUGGAAAUUAAAUUAGUAAAUAUUACUUCAAGGUCAUAAGGAAAAGGACUGUGACAGGUUAUGGUCAGCCUAGUCUAAGAUGUGUGCCAGUAGGAGGGUCACUAUGAUAGGUAAGUGAAACCAUGCGCCACUAGAAAAAAAUAAAUAAAAAUAAUCAUAACAAGCCUGAACUCCCCAUCAAAUUGUGCACCUUGGAAUGCCCUUCCCACUGUGGUCCUCACGUGUAAAGUGAAGAGCCAGCUAGUAAAUUAUCUCUAAGUCCUCUGAUUCAUUCUUUUUCUGUUUCUCUCUCAUAUUUUUCGUUCUAACUCUACGAAUUCUAAUGAAAAUAACUGCUUUGUAGCCAGUCAUUUUCCCCAUAACCAGCUGAACACUAAAUUAAUUGUCUCUUCUUUCUUCAAACAGGAUGCUGUGAGCAGGUUGAUCUAGAACAGUGGUUCUCAACCAGAGGCAAUCCCAACCCACCCACCCCACUUCCAGGGGACAUUCGGCAGCACUGGGAGACAUACUUGCUUGUCGUGACUGUGGAGGGAGUGCUGCUGGCCUCUAGUGGGUGGGGGCCCAGGAUGCGGGUGAACACCCUACAGUGCGCAGGACAGCCCCCCACAAAGGCGAAGGAUCCAGUCCAAAAUGUCAGGAGUGCCGACGAUGAGAACCGUGGGUCUAGAGAAAUCGGAAAAGAUGAAGAAGGGAGAAAAUGAUGGAGGGCAUUGUCUGCUUAAGAUGUCCAUGUGGGAUUUCCCACCUAAGAAGUAGCGCAGCAACUUUUGUCUUGCUUGGUGCUCUCCUCUUCUAUUGAUUACUCUAUGAUUCCUGAAGACUUGGGCUUGUGACUUACAUAACCCCGUUAGAGCCGAGCAUAACGGGAUCAAUGAAAACGGGAGGGCAAAUUCAAACAUGUGCCAUAACUAUGAGAGGAUUCUUUCUGUUGUAAGACUUGAAAAAGUCCUCAGAUCCUUGGUUUAAUUUAAUCAACAAUACGUUCAUCUGCAUACGGCAUUCAGCAGCAAAGUAAACUUUUUUUCCCCCCCUCCGAGUCUUUUGUUUCCAAAUCAAUGGGAAACAAAGGACAUCCCGCUCCAUUCAAGCAGUUUCAAUGAUUCUCAAAUAAACGUGGGAGCAAUAGUUGAGCCAUUUAAAAUAUACAGUGAUGAAAAAGCAUACUUAUUAACCUUGUAAACAUUCUAUAAAAGUACAAGGGAACCUUUAUAAAGAAUAUCCAAGUGUCCUUUUUAUAUAAUAGCCCUUUGUACUUUGAAAUGUUCGUGUGUCUAUAAAAUACAAUUGAACAGAACAGACAAGAAGAAUGAAAUUUCCAAGUCUCCUGGUAAUGGUGCUGUUAAAACAUUAUUUUUCAGUUUCUUAACACUAAGAGGAUUAAGUUUCCUCACCUCAAGAUCAGUUUCACUUACAAAAAGCACUUUGGACCCAUAUUUAACCGACCCUCAGAAGGGAUUCAAAAGAAGCCUAAUUGAACACUGAGUUUUCGAAGUUCUCAAAUGAUGACCCAGGAUUUUCCCUGAAAACACCAACAGUGGCAGCUCGGCAGGAAGCAGGAAUUAGACAAGAGAAUUGAUUGAAACCUGCCCUCCGAACUGGAAGAAAAGCUUCCAGUAAGAAACUGGGACAUUUGAAAUCACUGCAUGUUAUAUUAUUUAUCAUUCAAACGGCCUCCAGCCUUAUCAUGUGGCAUUUUCUCUGGCUUCUGAGCUAAUUCAGUAACUCACCAAGUAAUUCACCAAGAAAUGUCGUUUAGUAAGAACAACCCACCCUUUCAGAAGAAAGGGAAACCUCUUUAUCUCCUUUCUGUCUCUCCCGUCUAUCUCCAUUCUCUCUCUCUGUUCUAUCUGCACAUUUUGCAAUCCCCUCCAGGGUUCCAAGGCCAAUGAAAUCAGUCUCCAGGAAUGGUACUCAGCCAAAUAUAUUCACUGCUUAACCGUAUUUGUCUCUUUCUUAGCCCUUUCACCCACUGAUUUCAAAUUUCUCUUUAAUAGGCCAGCUAUGGCAGACCUCAACUGAAUCGAGUUAUAGAAAGACAAGCUGGAAAACCACACAGGGGAGACUUGAGGAAGAGGGGAGCAGUCUGAUGCUUUCAUCUAAAUCUUCAGGCCUCACUGCCGCCUACAAAGACAAGUGAAAGGAAGCUAACAGCGAUAAUCGAAUGAGCUCAGCGGGCCUGAGUUGGUUUUUUAAGAAAGCGUGUGUGUGUUUCGGGGGAUGGGGAGGAGGGAGAUACAGGCAUUCUGCCCAGGAGAACCUAGAGAGACAGAAACCUCUCUCCUAAAAUCCCGAAGUUCGUUGCCAGUGAUUCAGUACAUACCUAACCAAAAAAAAAAAGUUGCCUAACUGGUUUGGCUGUUGCAGCUGGCUACUACCAAGAGAAGUAAACUGAACUUUAUCGUUUCAGUUACAUCUGCCUUGGACAUUAUUUUCAAAUAAAUAUUUGUGAUUUCAAUGCUGUUUGAUUGCUGCCACUGCUGUCUUGGAAUUGGGUUGACUGACACACUGCCUUGGAUGAAGCCGGCUCCAUAGCAACAAGCCAGGAGAGGCUGCACCGUCACAGAGCUACGCUUUCUGUGGCCCCUGGGAGGGGGUGGGGGCGUAUUUGGCAACUCUGGCCAGCAGGACUUUGCAGUUAUCUUGUGAGAUUGUAGCUGAAUUGAGAAACGUUCUUCUUUUGCCCCCUGGCUCCUCCAGUCGGUGGGGAUCUCUGCUGAUCGCUUUGCACAUCUCAAUGAAUUCGACACAGGCAUUUUCCUCUCUCUCUUCAUUCAGGAAGUGGCGAGUGGAGCCUGAGAUUCUUUCUGCUCCGAUGAUAUAAACAAAUUGCAGAGGAAGUCAAGUCAAACUUUCCCUGCUUCUUUUGUUCUCCCAACUAGCAAUUCAGAAAGCAGAGCCAAUUUCUUUUUUUUUUGGAUGGCUUUUAAAGAUUGCUCUUAACUGGAAAGGCAGAAACUCUCAUGGUUUUUUUUAAAGACAAAGAUACUCCUAAACUUAUUUUUUCAAAAAAUCAGAAACGCCCUAGAAGUUUUUUUUUUUUUUUUAAGGCUGUUUUUUGAGACUUUUCAAACCAGCUGGUUCCCUUGACAUCACACAGUUACCUAAUUGCUGUUCUUUCCUUUGGAUUUCAACCAGGAGAGCAGUGAUGGGCUUUGUGUGGACAGUGGCUAAACCUGAAUCAAUCGAGGCUUCUGGUGCCCUAAUUCAUGGCCAAGGAAAGCUAACAGUCAUGUUUCACUAAAGGUGCCUGUACAAGGCAGGCACCAGACAGAAAGGAGACAUCUAACUGUUUAAUCUGCAAGUACGGCUUGAAAAAUCACACAUAAUUAAUCCCCUCUCAUAGUGGAAGCUAUUUGAAACUUUAUCACCGGCUUGUAAGAUCUCAUCUCUGAGCUUCACUGAUGGCCCUGAGAGGGAAUACUUUCAAACUACAGGCACCUGAUCACCCAGGUGACAUGCUUACUAUGCCUAUUCUAAUCAUCUGAUAAAAGAAGCUCUGUGCUAAAUAACCGAAGGAAAACAGAAUGGAGAUACAUCACAAAUAUUUGCAGGGUGUCCCGAAGGUGGCUUCCCAGGUUGGAUGUUCUGUUAGGUUAAUCUUGGUGCAAGAAAUAAAGAUGCGACAGCCACGUGAAUAUCAGUGUACCUAACUGGUUUUCCUCAAUGGCCCUCGCUGUAAUGGGUGGGCAGUCAACUUUCAACACAGCCCUAUUUUCUAGGGAAGCAUGUUAGAGGUCAAAUGCAAGCUCUAAUUACUUACUGAGCCUCAGUGUUCCCUUCCGGAAAAUGGAGAUAUGUUUUAGCAUGCUAGUACUGUUAUAUGGGUGAGAAACAGAGAUAUGUUACCCCACGGUGUGACAACUGUUAGCUUCUCAAUUAAGGUAGUUAUGGUUAUUACAAUUCAUAACAUUAUGUGAGUUCUCCUGGGUCAGGAAAAGCUAGCAUUAGUAGAAUCUGAACUUUAUAGUAUUUGCAAAGUUACUUCUAUGUCAGAACAUGUUUGCUCAAUCAUGAGCGUCUCCUCCCUCUUUAUCUAUAAAUACAUAUAUACUGUAGAUAUUUAUAGACUAACAGGUUUAUAAAAUCAUUUAUGCAAGUUGCAAUUGACUGUGUAAUUAUUGCAUAAACAGUGGAUGAAAGGAAAAUGUGAGGCUCUGAAGGUUGACUUUAAUUCAUGUUUUAUCUACUAUGCAUUAAACUGUUUAUUUACUUGUCUACAUUCUCCUCUCUGUUGAUUAUUUUCCAGGCAUGCAUUUCCCGUGAGCGACAUCAGAUGAGAAAGGGAUUUCAUUUGCAUUGCAGAGGAGACAGAGAGAAAAUAGAAAACUCAGAGGCAGAGACUUGCUUGGAGGCCUCCAAGCGCAUCUUGCUCUUUGGCACAUCCAGCAUUGCCAUGAGAAGCGUAUGCCUGCUCAUCCAAGGAGGAUGAAGGAUAUCUGGAGCAGACCUGGAUGCAACCCACAACUUGAAGCCCAGCCCAGCACAGCGUAGACCAUCUCAACACCAGCCAACCUGCGGAUGCUUUUAUGAGAAAAUUGAAGACUCAAGGGGAUAAGUGAUUUCCCCAAGCUUCCACAACUUUUGCUACUUACAGCUGAAAGCGUCCCCAACAGAUUUAACUAAACUGAAGCAGAGAACGAUUAGAUGACUGAGGUCACAAAGCCGAUGAAUGGAGCCAUCAGAAAUUAAAACCAGGUGUUACUGACCCCAAAAUCUAUGCUCUUAAUCAUGAUGUUAUAUUGUCAUUAUGGUUUCUACAAGUAAGCAAAAAAAAUGACAGCAAAUGUAUUUAUCUAGUUUCCCUGCUUUGAUCCAAAUGGAGU